CUCAGAGAGGUUAACUGAUAAUGCACCACAGCCAACAAGCCUGAGAGCUGGAUUCAUAUUCAGGCUUUCUGGCUCCAGCGUUUCUGCUCUUCUUGCCUGUCAACCAUUUUGGCAGUACAGACACCUGGAAAACUUGAGGCUUGUGCUCACCGCCCGAGUAGCUCUGAAAAUGACUCAAAUUUAAAGAACCACUAAGCAUCGUAAUAGAGAAAUAUGUGGAAACGAACUACAAGAACGAAUGUUCCAGUGCGCAGAAUGGACAACAUCUGGUGAUUGUCCAUCAUAGGUAGAGUCAACUUCAUCUGGACAAAAUGCCAACCUUAAUUAUAGCUCUAAUGAACUGCUCUUUUGCCUUCCGAUUAUGCAGUUAGAGAAAUUUCCUAAAAUCCUUCCUGGAAGAAGCAUCUUUUGGCAGCUGCUUACCGUGAAGGCAAUUUUAGUCAUUAUUAUGAUGAAUCUUAGGUGACUUAUGCUAUUUAAUUUUUCACCUUUUAGUUCUUUCUUUUUAUCUUGCUCUCCUGCAUUUUAUUCAGAAUAAAAAUAAUAUUGAAA